rnacentral:ncRNA from 2 species
UAAGGAGUGUGUAACAACU